rnacentral:rRNA from 1 species
GACGAACGCUGGCGGCGUGCUUAACACAUGCAAGUCGAACGGAAAGGCCCUGCUUUUGUGGGGUGCUCGAGUGGCGAACGGGUGAGUAACACGUGAGUAACCUGCCCUUGACUUUGGGAUAACUUCAGGAAACUGGGGCUAAUACCGGAUAGGAGCUCCUGCUGCAUGGUGGGGGUUGGAAAGUUUCGGCGGUUGGGGAUGGACUCGCGGCUUAUCAGCUUGUUGGUGGGGUAGUGGCCUACCAAGGCUUUGACGGGUAGCCGGCCUGAGAGGGUGGCCGGCCACAUUGGGACUGAGAUACGGCCCAGACUCCUACGGGAGGCAGCAGUGGGGAAUAUUGCACAAUGGGCGGAAGCCUGAUGCAGCAACGCCGCGUGCGGGAUGACGGCCUUCGGGUUGUAAACCGCUUUCGCCUGUGACGAAGCGUGAGUGACGGUAAUGGGUAAAGAAGCACCGGCUAACUACGUG